rnacentral:tRNA from 1 species
GUAACAGGAGUAUGAAAAGUAUAUUUGUUUUCCAUGCAAAAGGUUCGUGUUUAGGAUUGUUAUU